rnacentral:rRNA from 1 species
GUGGGGAAUAUUGGACAAUGGGCGAAAGCCUGAUCCAGCCAUGCCGCGUGUGUGAAGAAGGUCUUCGGAUUGUAAAGCACUUUAAGUUGGGAGGAAGGGCAGUAAGUUAAUACCUUGCUGUUUUGACGUUACCGACAGAAUAAGCACCGGCUAACUUCGUGCCAGCAGCCGCGGUAAUACGAAGGGUGCAAGCGUUAAUCGGAAUUACUGGGCGUAAAGCGCGCGUAGGUGGUUUUGUAAGUUGGAGGUGAAAUCCCCGGGCUCAACCUGGGAACUGCCUCCAAAACUGCAUGACUAGAGUACGGUAGAGGGUAGUGGAAUUUCCUGUGUAGCGGUGAAAUGCGUAGAUAUAGGAAGGAACACCAGUGGCGAAGGCGACUACCUGGACUGAUACUGACACUGAGGUGCGAAAGCGUAGGGAGCAAACAGGAUUAGAUACCCGGGUAGUCC